rnacentral:tRNA from 1 species
GCCUGGCUGGCUCAGUCGGAAGAGUGUGCGACUCUUGAUCUUGGGAUCGGGGUUGUGGGUUCAAGCCCCACGUUGGGUG